rnacentral:lncRNA from 1 species
CUUUCAACCUUUCAGUUGAAAGACCUAUAGGGUUUGUUCUGAUUAUUAGGUCUUUCCACCUUUCCGUGGAAAGACCUAUUGAAUUUGUUCUGAUUAUUAGGUCUUUCCACCUUUCCGUGGAAAGACCUAUUGAAUUUGUUCUGAUUAUUAUUAUUAUUAUUAUUAUUUUUUUUAUUUUUUUUCUUCCGCCUAAUUUUUUUCUUGCGUAUUAUUGAUGUUUCAAAAGAUGUCGCUUAGAUAUUUGGAAUAUGGUAUCGUAUAGUUUAUACGCUUUAAAAAUUUACAACUGUGUAACAAAAUACUUUACGUUGUAAGAGUUAUCUCCCCAAACACUGUUUUUCUUGUG